GACGAACGCUGGCGGCGUGCCUAACACAUACAAGUCGAACGAGGUCCAAGGGAGCUUGCUCCCUGAAGACCUAGUGGCGAACGGGUGAGUAACACGUGAGAAACCUGCCCUCGAGUGGGGAAUAACCCGGGGAAACCCGGGCUAAUACCGCAUACGCUCCUCUGGUCGCAUGGCCGGAGGAGGAAAGUUUUUCGCUCAAGGAGGGUCUCGCGGCCUAUCAGCUUGUUGGCGGGGUAACGGCCCACCAAGGCUACGACGGGUAGCUGGUUUGAGAGAACGAUCAGCCACACUGGGACUGAGACACGGCCCAGACUCCUACGGGAGGCAGCAGUGGGGAAUCUUGCGCAAUGGGCGAAAGCCUGACGCAGCAACGCCGCGUGAGGGAUGAUGGCCUUCGGGUUGUAAACCUCUUUCAGCACCGACGAAGCGCAAGUGACGGUAGGUGCAGAAGAAGGACCGGCCAACUACGUGCCAGCCGCCGCAGUAA
rnacentral:rRNA from 1 species